rnacentral:rRNA from 1 species
GAUGAACGCUGGCGGCGUGCCUAACACAUGCAAGUCGAACGAUGGCAGUAAUGUCAUAGUGGCGCACGGGUGAGGAACACGUAGCUAACCUGCCCUCGAGUGUGGGAUAACGUCCCGAAAGGGAUGCUAAUACCGCAUAAGCUCACACCGAAUAAAGAGGUGUGAGAAAAGAUUUAUCGCUUGAGGAGGGGGCUGCGGCCCAUCAGGUAGUUGGUGAGGUAACGGCUCACCAAGCCGACGACGGGUAGGGGGUCUGAGAGGAUGGCCCCCCACACUGGGACUGAGACACGGCCCAGACUCCUACGGGAGGCUG